UCCGAGGGGGGCAAAUGUUGUUCGGAAUCACUGGGCGUCAAGGGAGCGUAGGCGGGCUUCUAAGUUAGGUGUUUAAUCCCGGGGCCCAACCCCGGUCGUGCACCUAAAACUGGGAGUCUUGAAUAGUGGAGAGGUAAGUGGAAUUGGGGGUGUAGCGGUGGAAUGCGUAGAGAUCCCCAAGAACACCAGUUGCGAAGGCGGCUGACUGGACACAUAUUGACGCUGAGGCUCGAAAGCAUGGGGAGCAAACAGG
rnacentral:rRNA from 1 species